CGUCUUGGAAGUCACCAUGGUGUAUUGUAUUUGAAUCUAAAACAUGCUCACUAUGUGAUCUCUGUGUCUGGCUCAUUUACUAACACCGACAUGACACUAGGCUUCCAAAAAGACCAGGAUAUUGCCAUUAAAAAAUAAUGCUUCAAUGCUUUAUUUUUUAAAACAGUUCAGUAUUGUUCUUACUACACUUUGAACCCCUAACGGUUUUUCUUUUUAUUAUUUACACUAGAACAGUCCAGUCCAGUCUGGAUGUGAUUUUUGUGACAUAAUCAGUUUUAAAUAUGCACCAUGUAUAUGUAAUCUUCUGCUCACUCAAAAUUAGGUUCAGAUCUGGACUUUUCACCUUGCUUUUUUUUUUAAUCCAAAGGGUUUAUUGCAGCUUUUUCACAACAGGAUUUAAUUCUUAUUUGGAGAAAUUGUUCAGAUCAGACCAUUGUGAAAAAUAUUACAAAAUGUUUAGAAAAUAAAUUUAAACAAAACUCAUUAUCAAGUGAAAGACUAAAAUUUUGAGCAUCGCGAUCUGUUUCAUAUAUCUGCAAACAUUUUCCAAGUUGUCAGCAUAAAUAAAAUGAAAUAAAAACUUAACAUUUCUAUUAAUGAUUAAUUUUAUAUAUUUUAAUCUGGUUGCAAUGAUCUUUUUAAUCUUUUUAUUGCUCUAUUGCAGCGAUGUCAAACUCUAAUCCUCAAGGGCAGGUGUGCUGCAGCGUAUAGAUGAGCCUCUGCUGCACCACAACUGAAUAAAAUAAUUAGUUCAUUAAGGCUCUGGAGAACCGAUCUACACAAGGAGGAGGUCAUUAAGCCAUUUCAUUCCAGGGUUUUGUACAUGUGGCUCAUCUACAGGCUGCAGGACAUCUGAGGACUGGAGUUUAACACUUGUGCUCUUGGCACCUUUGCUAAUAAAGAUUGGUGAAUUGAAGUAGGCAUUUUACACAUCCGCGAAAGAAAAUAGUUUCAAAGAACAUUUGAAUAAGGAGGACGACAAUAUUUAUUUAUUUUUGUUUGAGCACGUUUUUGAGUGUUACAUCGGUUUUACAUUUGUUAAACCGAUGUAACACUCUCAAAAUUAAUCUUGAAUUUCUUGGAAAACGUAAAAUUAACUGCGGAUGGAUAUGCGGUUUCACACUCCAACGUAUUCUCCUCAUCAGUCUGUUUGCGCGGAGUCUGCAGGUUGGCUGUCCUACGAAACAAUCUGUAAGUACUUCUCUUCUAUCUGUUUUACCUGCAUUAUAUCAAAUUUUAGGGAGAUUUUAAAUCCCCAGUUAAAGAAAUGUGCUGGUCGUAACAGAUUGGAUGACCGGCGUACCCCAAAAGAUUAUUUAUGUUUUUUUUUUUUUUUUUAUCCUUUCCUGUGACAGUUUUUUCUGAUAUUGUUAAAACACACACAAUAAGUUAUCUACCAUCAUUAAGAUAAGAAUAUUUUGGUGCAGAGCGAUUUCAAACUCCGUAUUGUUUUGGGCCAGAACAUUUUCAAAUAUUGCGGCGCCAUUAUUUGCUGAGCUACCAUUGGUUCAUUUGAGCGCUAACGCAGCAGAAUAAAUUCGGUUCACUAAAGAAUCUAAGUUGCUAGCAGAAUUUGUUUCAGUGUCUUGAGACAAUAAAACCACUUGCAUGAUUUAAAAAGAGUAACUGUUGUGAUUUCAUUCUAUGUACAUGAGCUUUUCAUGUACAUGAGUCUCAUGCAUGCUAGCUUGGCUGGGACCCACCCAUGCAAGGGUGCUUUUUUUAAUUAUUAUUAUUUUUUUUUUUAAUGAAACUGCAUUGAAUCGUUUUGUUUUGGGCGAGAUUGGUAAUGAGUGGGCAUGGGUUUUAUCUGGGCUAACUUCAUGAGCCCCAUAUGGUUAACCUAAAAUGGGAGCCAUAUUGUUGACCCAUUUGGGCUAAAUGUAUGGGUCCUUUUCAGCAUUAAUGUGGGCUAACUGGGAAUGGGAUAGAAAUGGGCAACACUAUAUGGGGCACAUGUGGUUUCAGUAUAUUUGGCAUAAAAGCUUUUUUUGUAAAUAGGAUGAAGGUAUAGUAAAUAUUUUUAAAUCCUUUUUUUUAUUUUGUAAGUGACACUUUAAAGUGUUUUGUUCUGCCAGAGUUUGUUUCAAUCUGCACAGUUUUGUGUUCUUCAGUGGCCACUCCUGAAUCAAAGAUUGAAAGAUGAAGAAUUCUUUUUGUUGUUUUUGCAAUAUUUUAAGUGUAGCUCUUGUUCUUUAAUACGUGCAAUAUUUUAGGAGUGAUUUCUUAGUGAUUUUCUAAACUGCUCUUAGGAUUAAUACUACUGUCUUGUCACAGUACUAUACACAGUAAAUGAGGAUAAUUGCAUUAGUGAAACUGUUCAGUGUUUACAAUAUAUGGCUACAGUGAGUACUCUAUACCAAGAGUCUCAAACUCCAGUCCUCGAGAUCCGGUAAACUGCAGUUGUUGGAUGUGCCACAGGUACAAAACACUGGAAUGAAAUGGCUUAAUUACCUCCUCUUUGUGUAGAUCAGUUCUCCUGAGCCUUAAUGACCUAAUUAUUCUAUUCAGGUGUGUUGCAGCAGAGGAACAGCUAAAGGUUGCAGGACACCUGCCCUUGAGGACUGGGGUUUGACACCCCUGCUCAAUACAUAGGCUGUUUUGCCUUAAUAUUAUUUUUUGGAGAAGCCCAAAUGUUAUAUUAACUGCAUUAUGAAAAUAUAUUUCUUUGCAGACUUGAAGAGCACGAAACUGUGAAGAUCACCCAUCAACGAUUUGAAAAAGCAGUAAAGCAACAACUACAGCCAGAUGCUUCAUGGAAGAUAUGCUGUGUGCGUGUUCUUGGAAAUGCAGGUGACAAACAUUUACUUGUAUGAAAAUUUUGAAAACGUGAGCUUUAGAUUUACAAAUGUGUUAAUCCUUUUUUUUAAAAAUUCUUUUCUAAAGACUGCUAUGGAGAAGCACGACGAAAGCUUGCAAGGGCAGAAGCAACAUCAGAUCUUCAAACAGAUAAUGAUAUCCCAGAAAAGCGACGUAGAAGGUAGUGUGGAACAGGGACUUAUGUAACACACAACUCUAAACCUUCUGUCUUCCUAGUUGUCAUUUGAGCCGCUUUCAAUUCCUUUACCCAUUUGGUUCUCUUUGCUUUACUUUUUUUCUCAUCCUUCAGGACUUAAAGGAACAACAUAUUUGUAAGAAUGGAAAAUUACACAGGAAAAAAUGCUACUACUUGUGAGCUUUACUAUAGAUUUUGCCACAUUCCUACUUUAAAUGAACUAGAUUACUGUUUUUUUAACCAUAUUGGUUGUCAUAGGUUCAACUGUAACGUUUUAUCUUUUGGAUCUUAUUUCUGUAUCUCUCACAGUUAACUUGAAAUAAAAUAGUUAAAUUGCUCACUAGACUAGCCUUUUUGGUUUGUUUUUUUUACCAACUUUUACCACUUGUUAAAUUCUGAUUUAUCAUUUCAGAUCCUCCCACAAAUGGGGCACAUUUUCUUCAAGUGAAGACAGUGUGAACUCCUCAGAGAAUGAAGUUCCACCUUCUCCUCCCUUGGAACUUACUACAGUUGGAUCUGCCUCAAAAGUGUGUAGUCUCGGUGUGUCCAGAAAGAGAAGCCCCAGCACAACUCCAAAUCUGAGAAGCCCCAGCACAACUCCAAAUCUGAGAAGCCCCAGCACAACUCCAAAUCUGAGAAGCCCCAGCACAACUCCAAAUCAGAGAAGCCCCAGCACAACUCCAAAUCAGAGAAGCACAACUGCAAGUCUUUCUAUGAGUCCUGGGACUUCUUUGAGCAGGAGCAGCUCCAGCUUGGGAGAGGCUAUGUUUACUAGGCUGGUUACACUUCUUGAGGAGGUUAGAGAAACACAAAAACUGCACGGACAGUUGUUGAGUACCUUGCUGAGACAGAAAUCUGCUUCACCACCGGUUGAACCACCUGAAGGAGCUGUUUUUCCAAUGUGUACAAUCAAUGAUGUCCUGGGCAUGAAUGAGAAGCUGGGUGACUCAGACUUCAUGUCUGGAGUUGUAAGUUAAAAUUUUGUUCCUUAAAAAUUAACAUUAAAUUAGCCCCAUUGCAGUAAGCAAUUAACUAAUGACAUGAUAAAUUAAAACAAAUUCCCAUAAUUUAUAAUUUUUCUGUUUCUACUAAAAACUGCUUGACAAGUAUUCAGUCUGGUGUUUAGGUCUCAACUUGCCAUUUUUUUGAAGUACACAUUUGUUUACAAAGACUUCAUAAUUGGAUAUUUAAAUUGUCUUCCAGUUGCAAUGCUCAUUGUUCAUUAGAAUUCAAAGUUUAUCAAUCUUUGAGAAUGUGUUCUUACUAUUAUAUUAUUUGAAAAUGGUUGUAAAACAUUUAAUCACAGUAACUUCUUGGAAUUUAUUGUCCAGAAAAAUUUAUUGUGACAGGCCUCCCUUAAAUUGAUGCAUAAAUUAAUUGGCAUUUUGUCCAUGUAUAAAAUUAAGCAUAUAAGCUAUAUAUGUGUGAAACAAUAACAAAUCAAUUAAUAAAAACUAAAUUGCAUCCUGAUUUUCAAAUGUUGUCUUGCAAUUGUCAUUAUAUUUAAGGUUGCCAUGGUUGCAGAAAUUGGAGGAGCAUCCUUGGAUGACGCAAUACGACGGGCUAUGCGAUUCCUGAUGUCCCAUGAAUUAGCAGUCCAGUUCAACCUGUUUGGCCGACAUGGGAAACACCAGUUCCGGGACCUGCGUCUCUUUGAUGUUGUGUAUGGGGCACUUAAAAGAAAUGGUUCCAUCGUUGGACUCACACAUAAAGAUGUGGAAAAGGCACUCUCAAAGUGGUUCACUGGAGCCCGUGACAGAGGUGGGAAUAGGAGAGUUAGAGCAAGUAGGGAGGCUGCCAGUUCUCACUCUGGUGGGCAGGUCUUCCAAGAAGGACAGUUACAAUAAUAUGCGAGCUUUCAAGUGUAAGCAUGCAUGCAGGUUAUUCUAAAAUGUUUUGUGAAAGGUGUGUGUAUGUACCAGUAAACAAGUUUGUUGUUCAAAAAUGCCAUGUGAACAAUUUUGUAGAUUUUUAAUUUUUUUUUGUUGUUGUUGUUUAAGAGCGCCAUUUGUGCUUGUGGCACCUUUUGCUUUGUUAAUUAAGUUCUAAUAAUUGCUGAGGUAUAAAAUAACUUCUGCUUACAAAAUAAAAAGCCUUGACCAAAGGAAAUUUCUUUUUUUCUCUUUAAACAAAUUUUGUGAUAAAGCAUUUUAGGACUUUGGUUUGUUUAAGACUGCAUAUCUAUGAAUGUUAUUCAUUUCAAGGUUAGGUGAGAACAACCCCAUUGUUCCUAUAAGGAUUAAGGCAUCUGGUUCCCACUGAAAACCCAGUCAGGGCCUGUAAACCAUUAUGGGCUAAAGCAUAUGGGCCCAUCAUGGAAAAUGUGGAACUACUAAUUUGUUACCCAUAUUCUAGCCCAGUUCAGACCCAAUUGGGGCCCAGGUAAAUAUUCCUGAAAGCACCCUAGUGGGCCACAGAUGGGCCUCGUGUAAGUUAACCAUCUGGGCCCCACUGAAAACCCAGUCAGAGC